GGACAGCGGGACUGGGGGGCGCCGCAGUGCAGGGUGUACAGCUGCAGAGAAGCCGGGGAUACAGGGAGCCAGCCCGCGUGGAGAGUGACGAGUGACAGGCGCCUUUGUUCCGGGCUUGCAUGGGUGGGACGCGCCCCCUCCUCAGCACUCAGCCCGGCGAGCCUGGCCCUCCCGUCGCCCCUUCUUAAGUGCAUUUGUCCCGGGCUCUCGAUUUUGUUUACUCUUUCCUGCUUACACAGGUACACACACACACCCAGACCUAAACUUUAUAUAAACAGACAUGAACUUAAAGAAACAAAAUCCCCCUAUGUGUCAACGCGCUCCUUUUUAACAAAAUCAACAAAAAUUCAACACAAUGUUAUUUCCAUCCUUUUGUUGUCUUAUUAGAAACGUGUAUGUUAACUUUCCUCCUUUUAUAAAUGGGGCAUGUUCUAAUUAACCAUUUGUAUGGUUGUUUUUAGUGCUCAAAUGGUCACAUUGCAGCCCCGGGGAGGUAUUUUCAAAACGCUGCUCUGUCAUUUUAGGAUCACCCUGAUUGUUGGAAGCACCUUUGCUUUUGUUUUUGUUUUGUUUUUGUUUUGCUGAGACGGGGUCUAGCUCUGCCGCCUAAUCAGGCUCACUGUGGCUUCAAAACUCCUGGCUCAAGCAAUCCUCCCGCCUCAGCCUCCCAAGUAGCU
rnacentral:lncRNA from 1 species